GCCCGCGUUCACACCGCAAGCCUCUGGCUUAAGGCACUCAUCAAUAUCUAACCGUAUUAUUAAAAAAUUAAAAACAAGCAAUGUUUUGGUUGAUAUUUUUACCUGUACAUAGAACUUCUCCAUCGCCUUCGUAGCCAUCUUUGCAUUUGCACAGAAAGUGUGCCGGCAGAUUACAACAUUCGGCAUUCUCAACACAACGUGCUGUUACCUGAGGAUCUUUACAUUCAUCGAUAUCUACAAAAAAUAUUCUACAUCGCUUGCGUUACAAUGAUAUAAUAAACAACGCCUAGGACGAGUUGAGGUAGACCCAUACGUUUGAUUGAUAGACCGCAAUUUUUAAGAUAUGUUAAGGGAAUAGACAUAAAAGCAACAGCUAUGAAAAAUAGUUUUGAUCGAACCUUUGCGCGACUCCGCAUAUAAGCUGAUAUUGUAUGAAAGGGUCGGCAAUACCACCCCAAAGAAGUCAAAUGAAAUAUAGGCUUAUGUUGGCCGUAAAUGGUAAAUACUGAGUUCUGCUGUAAACUAACGUAGCAGGAGUCUAUAACGUAUAAUCAAGUAAUUAGGAAGCGCGGAUAUCGAAUCGGCAUAGCCAUACUUUAAUUACGAUCAGCAUAUGAGCGUAGACAUACUACUUAGCGAUCAGGCUUAUACAUGCCAGGCCGCGGCCACUCGCUCUCUUCCUUUCCAUAUUACUUUCACGCCAUUACCGUGUUACAUGUAUAACGGACAGAAAAAGAGAAAGAAAUACAACCAUACAAUCGUUGCAUAUGAUCUCAAUAAGGGAACUCUAGCACGUCUCGUUUUAUUGCAGAUUUUCAUUUCAAAACAAUUACGUAUAAACUAUUUAGCAUUUUAAUACAUAACUUUAACGCUUUGAUGUCCACGUAAACAUGCGUGCCGUUGUUAUUAUUAUCUGACAUUUCCACGCAUGUGGUGGUCUUGACGGUUUCCUUACGGAAUCCCUAGAGAUAACAUUCACAUGCAUCGAAAUGUUUGGCUUCACGAAUAAUUCCCUCUUUGAAUUGGAACUGCUCCUAUUUCCAAUAUAUCCAAUAAUGUUGAACGUGCUAUGUGCAUAUUUAGCAUGAAAAUCUUGCAUUAAUUAUCAUUACAUGAUUUUAAGUCAAGAUGAUUAUUACUUAUAUUAUAGAUAUAUAAUCCAUUCAUCUUCAUCUAGUUCUGAUAGAAUUUUAGAAUUUUUUGAAAAGAU